rnacentral:rRNA from 1 species
UACGAAGGGGGCUAGCGUUGCUCGGAAUCACUGGGCGUAAAGGGCGCGUAGGCGGCCAUUCAAGUCGGGGGUGAAAGCCCAGGGCUCAACCCUGGAAUUGCCUUCGAUACUGCGGGUCUCGAGUCCGGGAGAGGUGAGUGGAAUUCCUAGUGUAGAGGUGAAAUUCGUAGAUAUUAGGAAGAACACCAGUGGCGAAGGCGGCUCACUGGCCCGGUACUGACGCUGAGGCGCGAAAGCGUGGGGAGCAAACAGG